rnacentral:lncRNA from 1 species
ACCUACCCACAUGCAUAUACGGCUCUGUCUUGUUAGCAUGCACUAGAGAGACUCUUCCGAUAACCUCAAAGAAACAAGCUGCUAUGAUAUAAAUUGCCCAUGCAGAGCAUCACAUAGCAGGAAAACAUGGGUGGUCUCUAAAAGCUGAGGACCUCAGUCCUAUAGCUGCAAGGAGCUGAAUUCUGAAUUCUGCCAACAAUCAUAGGCAGUUAGAAGAGGAACCUGAGUUCAAGAUGAGAAUGCGGGUGGCUGACACCUUGAUUGCAGCCUUGAGCAGAGGAACUACUCAGAAAAAAAUUGCCCUAUGGAAUUUCUGAAGAGAAAACAAUCUUUAUUUUUCCUUGGCAAGUAGAACUCCCACCUGUCAAGUCUGAUCUCUAGGCUAAAGAUUUGGAAUCUAUACAGGUAAUCCAAGAUGGACCAGAAAUUCAGGAUCUUCACGGUUAACGUGGUGGCAGUCAGAAAGAAAUGCAAUAGAACUAAUUUAAGUUCUAGAUCAUGAUAGCCUGUGAUAUGGUUAUGAUCUGCUAUUGUUCGUGAUUUCCUGUACCAUCAUAUGACACAAUGAAGAGAUGACCAUGUGCAAACCACAUAGAGUACCCUUACCAGACACUAGAGCUGGCAGAAAUUUGAUCUUGGACUUCCCAGUCUCCAGAACUGUGAGAAAUAAAUGUUUGUUGUUUAUGAAACUUAGUCUAUGGUAUUCUGUUAUAUAGCAGCUUGAGCUGACUAAUGUGAUAUUAUUAAGUCAAGAAAAACAAUUGGAUAAUUUAUCAAGAUUAUUUUAUGGCAGACAAUUUAUUUCAACAUUACUUAAAAGCAUUGAAACUUUUCUAUGCUGAGAAUUACAGUGCUGCUGGUGAAAGUGGUGCUAGAGCUUGUGUGUGUGUCUGUGUGUGUGUCUAAUCGCAUUCAGGGAGCAUUUGUUUAGUCUGUUUUAAUGCUAUCAGAGCUAACAUUUGUGUAUGUUUGUUUUCUUUAUCUCAGCUCUGGCAAAUCCAUGAAAAACAGAUGAAAGCCAAAUCUUUCAUUAUUUCUAAAUCCCUGAUUAUGACAUAUUUCUCCUACAACGUGUCCCAAAAGAAUGAGAAAAGCAUCUGUAACUACGCACAGGUUAUGUUGUAGUCCCCUCAGUAGCAUUUUGUCCAUAUGGAGCUUAAUUCUGUAAACUACCUAUAACUAGGUAUAAAAUUCAGACAGAAAAUAGCAAUUUAUCACAAGUGUCCAGCUGGCUUCUUCUUCUAAGUGGUUAUUUCCUAAUCUGCAAUCCAGCCAUUCACUGCCCACUCACAUUUUUGAGCUAUAAAAUCAAUAAUAAAUAGCAAGAACAUUCCCUUGAGAGCUUAGCCAUGCAUUCCAACUGGG